rnacentral:rRNA from 1 species
AAUGGCGUAUACAAAGAGAAGCGACCUCGCGAGAGCAAGCGGAACUCAUAAAGUACGUCGUAGUCCGGAUUGGAGUCUGCAACUCGACUCCAUGAAGUCGGAAUCGCUAGUAAUCGUAGAUCAGAAUGCUACGGUGAAUACGUUCCCGGGCCUUGUACACACCGCCCGUCACACCAUGGGAGUGGGUUGCAAAAGAAGUAGGUAGCUUAACCUUCGGGAGGGCGCUUACCACUUUGUGAUUCAUGACUGGGGUGAAGUCCUAACAAGGUAACCA